rnacentral:snRNA from 1 species
GGAUGUGUGUGUGGUCCGGCUUGACAUGUGCCCCCACUGAUUGCCAGGGUCACUUCAGCGAUCUGGUUGGCUAGCAGGGUGUCCCCUUCCUCCCUCACCGCUGCAUGUGUGCCCCUGCCCAGGCUGCAAGCUCAGUAGAAGAGAACAACUCUCCUCGCAUAGAGGAGGACUGGCCUUCAGUCAAGGGCAUGUACGUCGCUGCACUCCCCUGCUAGAGCCUCCGCCCAAGCUCUCUGGAUGGCAACACAGAAGAAAAGGCAACAUGGGCGGAGACGUAGUUUGAAGUGAUGCACCCACAAGCCAAGAAGCAUCUAGCGCUGCU